rnacentral:rRNA from 1 species
ACUAUGGAGAGUUUGAUCCUGGCUCAGGAUGAACGCUGGCGGCAGGCCUAACACAUGCAAGUCGAUGGGCAGCGCGUCUUCUGAUGGCGGCGACU